rnacentral:rRNA from 1 species
UACGUAGGGUGCAAGCGUUAUCCAGAAUUAUUGGGCGUAAAGAGCUCGUAGGCGGUUUGUCGCGUCUGCUGUGAAAACCCGAGGCUCAACCUCGGGCCUGCAGUGGGUACGGGCAGACUAGAGUGCGGUAGGGGAGAUUGGAAUUCCUGGUGUAGCGGUGGAAUGCGCAGAUAUCAGGAGGAACACCGAUGGCGAAGGCAGAUCUCUGGGCCGUAACUGACGCUCAUGCACGAAAGCGUGGGGAGCAAACAGG